CGCGGGGAGUGCGCCACGCCCCCUUGCGCGCUCGGGACUCACUUCCGGGCACUGGCACGGCGUGACGUCAGGAGGAGGGCAGGGAGUCCCAAGAGACUUCUGGCUUGAGGCAGGGAGUCGACAGCGCGCAAUCUGCAAUCCGUGUCUCAUCACCUCUUCAGAUCAGCCGAUCAGUCGAGGGCGAGGACCAGUAGGCAGCUCGCAAGAUGGGUGAAAGGAAAGGUGUAAACAAGUAUUACCCUCCGGAUUUCAAUCCCGAAAAGCAUGGCUCUCUCAACCGAUACCACAACAGCCACCCGCUACGGGAGCGGGCUCGGAAGCUGUCCCAAGGCAUCCUCAUUAUCAGGUUUGAGAUGCCCUAUAACAUCUGGUGCGACGGCUGCAAGAACCACAUCGGCAUGGGUGUUCGUUACAAUGCAGAAAAGAAGAAGGUUGGCAAUUAUUACACAACGCCCAUCUACAGGUUCCGGAUGAAAUGCCACCUGUGCGUCAACUACAUCGAGAUGCAGACGGACCCCGCCAACUGCGACUACGUGAUUGUGAGUGGCGCCCAGCGCAAGGAGGAGCGCUGGGACAUGGAGGACAACGAGCAGGUGCUGACGACAGAGCAUGAGAAGAAGCAGAAGCUGGAGACGGACGCCAUGUUUCGCCUGGAGCACGGCGAGGCCGACCGGAGCACGCUCAAGAAGGCCCUCCCCACCCUGAGCCACAUCCAGGAGGCCCAGAGCGCCUGGAAGGAUGACUUCGCUCUCAACAGCAUGCUGCGGAAAAGGUUCCGGGAGAAGAAAAAAGCCAUGCAGGAGGAGGAGGAGAGGGACCAGGCGUUGCAGGCUAAGGCGAGCCUGGCCAUCCCGCUGGUGCCGAGACGGAGGACGACCGCAAGCUGGCCGCCCUGCUCAAGUUCCACACCCUGGACUCCUACGAGGACAAGCAGAAACUCAAGCGGACGGAGAUCAUCAGCCGCCCCUGGUUCUCCUCCACCCCGGGGACCCCGCACCGGCAGCAGCAAAGCCGGCAGCGUCCUGAAGAAGCUGGCCCAGAACCGCAGAUGCGACCCGUCGGCUCCCCCAUCACCGUAGAGACCUGGGCAUCGUGCGGCGGCGGUCCCGAGAGGCCUUGGAGAACCUCCGGCUCGCCGCGGAGACCCCCAAGCCUGGGGAGCCAUGGGUGCCAGAGGGGAACACCCAGGACAGGCCCGCAUCCCCCCCAGACGGCUCUCCGGAGACAGCCGAGACCCCCAGGAGCAGGGGACCUCCGGGGCAGGCGGGGAAACGUCAGGACAGACCCCGGUCCCCACCAGGCCCCUCUCAGGAGGCAGCCGCCUCCCAGGACACACCACACCCGGGCACCCUCAGCUCCUCCUGGUGGCCGAUUACUCGACUCAGAGAGUGAGUGAGCAGUUCUGGGCACUGGACCUGCUCCAGAGGCUGCGACCCAGCCAGGAGCCCCUCCCGGACUGCAGCCUUGCUUGCCCCCCAGCCUCCGAGCGCUCAGACGCUGGCCCCUCCCGAGACCUCGCCUUCCUGCAGCAGUGGACGUUAUUUAUUUGGUCCUGGAGAGGGUGUUUGUGCUUGUGGGACAACAUCCCAACAUUAAAGCCCUGCUUCUUUGUCCCUGCCUCAGGUGCUAGAUGGGCCCAGGGCUGACUCCCCCCGCACCCCACCACCCAGCUAAGCUUCGCAGGACCCUCACCAGCCAGCGUGAUGCUACGGCCACAGCCACGAUCCCCGCCCAGCAUGAGGGUUUCAGUGUGGAGCUCAGGUUGGCCUGCAAUCAGAGCGGACUUCCAGAGGAGGCAGUACAGUCUCAGUGCGAAAGGUGGAGGGGGGACCGGGCAGCAGGAACCGCCACAGUUAGGACUGGGAACGUAGGAGGUGCCUGAAGCAGUCAAACCCGGAGCGUGCAAGUGUGGGGUUU
rnacentral:lncRNA from 1 species